CGUUAGCAUUGACUUUAUAUUCAGGGUUUGUAAGGGGCAAUUAUUGUUUGCAGUCCUGAAACAAGCAUUGGAUUGGAUUUUAUAAAAAUAUUUAACUACAUGUAAGUGCAUGGACAGCAACUUGCGUUGCAUAAACAACAACGUAUGAUCAAUACGCACUUUUGAUAAAUAGCUCCAGAAUAAUGAGCAAAAAAAUAUAGUUGUGGGCUUAUGAAAGCUUAAAAUUAAAACGAAACUCGAGUCAAGGAAAAUUUGUAGUUGGCACUUUAGCAACUUAACCAAAGCGGAAAGAAGGAAACAGCGUCGGUAGAACAGUAAAAAGCCAAUGCACUCUUAACCACAGCAAGCGAGAAAACUUGGCACCUAAUGCGUCACAAAUCCUUCAGAAGGCAGAAGGCUUUCAGCUGGUGGCGGGCAUCGUUCUUGCCUACGCAAGCUCUGUGAGUAAAAUGCCAACGGGCAUUCGGAGGGAUAUAAGAAAAAAUCUACAAAACGAGAGACAUGAGGGAGGGAGUUGGAGAAAUGUAAGACAGCAAACCUGGUGCUUUAUCCGGUCAGUCUGGACGACUGGCUGGCACGUCUGGCAGACAAACAGUUCGCACAAGUGAAAGUAAUUAAAUUUUUGAGCGUCGCCUCCGCUCCCGCAUCGUUCACACUAACGAACUGUUGCAGAAACGUGCCGCAUAUGGCUAGGGCUGGCUACUAGUGGAUACUGGCGACCAGUUUUGCAACCCCUUUUUUAUGGCGACCACAAACAUGUUAACACAUUUGGCCAGUUGCAGUUUUCGGCCAUUUGUGCCAUUGUUCCGUGGUCCCUUCUAUCACCUCAUCUCCAGCUGAAUAUGCGUUUGCUGCCUGCUAUUUUAUGAGCUUUUGGCGCGUUGAGAACAGAGUUUAAUUAAAAAUAAACUAUCCGCCUCCCCCAACUACAACGCAACUGAUUAUGCGAUUUAGCUGGCCGACUACGUGUACCGCGCAGUAAAACAACAACAACAACACCAACAACAAACAGAAACAAAAACUUCAAUAAUGCCAACAAGAAGAAUAUCCUGCGUAUAUCAUGUAGCAUCAGGUCAACAGCGCGGUGUACGCAGCAGCAACAGGGACAGCCACGUCGAACUUUUUGUGGGUCAAAAUUAAAUAAUGAAAGAGCAUAUCGAGCUGUCCCCUAAAUGAUUGCCAGCUUGAUUUUUUGCCAACGAGGCUUCCAAUUGUUUUUGUUGUGGUGCUAUGUGCCUGUGUCACAAAAGAAAAUAAUUCGAGUACCUUUAUGAGCUCAAAUAAAUUCCAAACGAUUACACACGCCAACCAAAAACUAAACGCUUAUCUAAGUGUUUUUGUGUAUGACUCUCUGAACCUUUCAGUUGCCACCAGUGUUCACAACACGAAAGCCAAUUUGCCAUAUGUGGUACGGGUUAAAUAUGUAGAGAGCGGAAAUGCAUUUGCAUACAUUGUAUAUACUUACGUAAAUACAUAUGAAUUGUGGGCAUGAUUUUGUAUCUGUGCAAGUGUGCGUGAUUACAGUAGCCGUAACAAUAAUGUUUAAUUUGCAGUGAAAGCCUCGCGCUUCGGGCGAAUGGCCGGACGCACAAAUUAUCGGACCAAAAUUAUUUUAUGAUAAGCGACCAGCAAACAAAUAGAGGAAGCCGACAAAUGUUUGGACGAAAUGAAAGAUGAAAUCAACACAAGCUGGCAUAUAAGAACAUCCUCACGUAGGCAAAUGGACAAACAAAUCCGGAGGAUAGCACCACAUUGUAUUCGACAUCACUUCAUCAAUCCACGUUUAGACAUCGCUCAACUUCAGCCGAGUAUCAGAUACGUCAUUUUGCUCAACAAUGGAGGGAUUAUUAAUUUGAGCAAGAUUUUGAGUUAGGCCCGCUCUUUACUAAUGCGGCCCAUUCUCGUAUAGGUUCACAGGCCAAUAUUUCUAUCGUAUUUGUGCAGCUAUUUUAGAAAAAUUCCAAGUGGUAUAUUAUGGUCGAGUUCCCGGUAAAUGAACUUGUGUUAGUUUCUAUGCUGUUUUCACUUCUGGAGUUAUUAUUUCCAUAAUGGAAAAAACACUGUUCCUAAGUGGAAAUUCGAGUCUGUCCAAGAUAAAUGGUUCCAAUCGACAUUUGUUGAAGGGUGUUAUCUUCACGAAUGCAGCUAAAUUUGUGGUUUUAUUCCUUACUUUCGUUAUUAGUACAAAUUUAAUCGUAAACAAGUAAAAGUACUCCAUUCGGGAUAGCCCGUCUAUGAAAUACCAUGUACCCAGCGCCGACCUGCCGUUUCAAGUAUUCUAGUUUCCUUCUAUAUAUACAUAUACAAAAACACACAUAAUAACCAGAAAGCUCUUAUCCUUAUAUAUACUUAAAAGGGUCAGAGAAGCCACGUUUUUCCUGUUAUUCGUUACAUUUGCACUAAGUUAUUUUCCCUUGUUAACCCAGUUUUAAUUGGUUCAGAGUAUAAAACAUUAUUUUUAGCUGAAUGUAGUGUUCGAAAAAUGUAAUAUGUAGUGAUAAAAUGUUAUAUUUGUAUUAUGUAGAAGUUAAACUGAGGUGUGACUAAGAUACAAUAACCAAUGCUAUUAAACUGCCGCCACCUUCUCCAUAAAGUAUAUCCAUUCCCAUCCACAGUUGUCAUUCCCAACUGAUUUAA